rfam:Schistosoma mansoni strain Puerto Rico chromosome W, complete genome
AUCCAGCUGACGAGUCCCAACUAGGACGAAACGUGCGUCCUGGAU